rnacentral:rRNA from 1 species
UACGAAGGGGGGCUAGCGUUGUUCGGAAUUACUGGGCGUAAAGCGCGCGCAGGCGGCUAUCCAAGUCAGUGGUGAAAGCCCGGAGCUCAACUCCGGAACUGCCCAUUGAAACUGUUUAGCUUGAGGAUGAGAGAGGUGAGUGGAAUUCCCAGUGUAGAGGUGAAAAUUCGUAGAUAUUGGGGAAGAACACCGGUGGCGAAGGCGGCUCACUGGACCGAGACUGACGCUGAGGCGCGAAAGCG